ensembl:snRNA U6 U6 spliceosomal RNA
GUGCUUGCUUCGGCAGCACAUAUGCUAAAAUUAGAAUGAUACAGAGAUUAGCGUGACCCCUGCGCAAGGAUGGCACACAGAUUCGUGAAGCAUUCUUUUUUUUU